UACGGAGGGUGCAAGCGUUAAUCGGAAUUACUGGGCGUAAAGCGUGCGCAGGCGGUUUGUUAAGUCUGUUGUGAAAUCCCCGAGCUCAACUUGGGAAUUGCAAUGGAUACUGGCAAGCUAGAGUAGGGCAGAGGGUGGUGGAAUUUCCUGUGUAGCGGUGAAAUGCGUAGAUAUAGGAAGGAACACCAGUGGCGAAGGCGACCACCUGGGCUCAUACUGACACUGAGGUGCGAAAGCAUGGGGAGCGAACAGG
rnacentral:rRNA from 1 species